CAGCUAUGCCACUACAGCCCAUGGAGGUCCAUGGGGAUGCAGAGAUACACCUGCAGCUUGGGGAUGAGCCCCACACCAGAGCAGGUGGGUGCCCAAAAGCAGUCAGUGAUCCUGUGGGAGGCCUGUGGAGAGAAGAACGCUGCUUCCAUGCUGGAGCAGCCUGUCCUUAAGGACUGCACCCCAUAGAAGAGUGACCCACACUGCAGUGGUUUUGGGAAGACUGUUGCCCAUAAGAUGGACUCAUGUUGCUGUAAUUUGCAGGGAGCUGUUGCUUGUGAGUUGGACUCAGAUUGGAGGAGUUUAUGGAGAAUUGUCUGCCAUGGGAGGAGCCCCAUGGAGCAGCGAGGCAAUGACUCCUCUCCCUGAGCAGUGGAAGAAGCCUCAGGUGGUGGCUGACCGUAACUCCCAUUCCCUGCCUCCCUGAGCCACUGGAGUGGGAGGUAGAGUUCCAAGGAGGGAGGGGUGGGGGGAAAGCAUUUUUCAGGGAAUAUUUUACUUCUCAUUAUCCUGCUCUGAUUUUGUUAGUAAUAAUUUCACUUCGUAUCUCUAAGCUGAGCCUGUUUUGCCUGUGAUGGUAUUUGAUGAGUGAUUUUUCCUGGUCCUUAUCUCAACCCAUGAACCCUUUGUUAUAUUUCCUCUCCUCUGUCCAGCUACAGAGGGGAGUGACUGAGUGGCUUUGGUGUGUGCCUGGCAUCUGGCCAACAUCAACCCAGGACAGUACCUUAAAUAUCAUUGUAACAAUAGUAAGCAAAAUUUAUCACAAAUAUGAAUUGUAAUUUUAAAUUUCAUUAUACCCCUGUAAUAGUUUGUUUCCUGCUGAUGCAACGAGUACUACUAAGGAUUUAUUAGAAGUAUUAUAUCUUACAAGACUAGUAAAGCAACAGGGAAGUGAUGUACAUAAGUGAAGUAUCGCGUACAAAAUGGGGACCACAUGGAAGAAAGACCUAGUGGUGCAUCAUAUACUAAAGAAGUAUGUGUCAACAAUAACAACAUAGGAAGCAUUUGGGGUUACAUCAGUUGGAGUUUUCCAUUUGAGAGAAAGAAAUAACGUUCUGGUGAGGACUGAGAUGAAACACUAUAUCCCAUUUGGAAGUCACAUAUUAAAGGAGAGGAAUGAAGUAGGCUGCAAAAAGCUGGUAGCAAGGUCAGGAGGAUGGAGUUUCCAGCUCUCACAAAAUGAAUACCCAGUGUCACAGUGCAGCAAGCAGCACUUGAAAUUUUGCACAAAGCCAGCCCCUUGCCAUCAUUGGGAAAACAGUGAGUCAUGGCACACUGUAGUAUCAUCUGGACUUGCUCUUCCCUUCUGCUGUCUUCUGCCUCUUGCUUUCCCAAUUAUUAUACGCAACAAAAUAGGCAAGUGCUAUCCUGGUAAGAAGUUGGCCAAACACACAUUGCACCACUUCUACAGCUGUUCAAGUGGUUACUUGCAAUAGCUAUGUUUGCCAAUAAAGUCUGACUUUCUGAGCUGGAGCAUCAAAGAGCAGUCUGCAUCCAACAGCAGCGUAGACUAGCCUGCAGAUCUGAAUGGGCUGGGUGCCAGCUACAUCCCAGCAGAAAUUGGAACCAACACCAGUCCUGUGCACCAGCUGGCCAGAUUGGCAAACAAUGGUCUGCAACACACUCUUUGCUUUGAUCUUGUUAAUAUGGAAUCGGGAGAAACUUCAAGGGAUUCUGGUAUGAAUCAAAAGUUUCUGUGGACUCUUAUACAUCUCUGACAUUCAGGUAACACAGUCUGUGAAGUCUCUGAAAUGGAGAUGUCACCCUCCAAAUACCCCAUUAGCUUCCAGUGAACACUGGGAAACUGAGGUUUGUCAAUUUCCUGAUGGUGAUGACUCUUCUUAUGACCCUAAGUAACUUUAUCAAGUGGGUUUUCUGCUAAGGAGCAUACACUGCUUCAGAGCUGAAAUGGACUAUUGAAAAAUGUAGUUUAUUUAAAGAGCACUCAAGCAUGUAUUUAAGGAGGUUUGGACACAGAACUGUAAGCCCAGUAAGAUGGAUGGUGAGAACCCUUUCUAACCAGUUCACCUUCAUGAACUAGACUUGAGUGUUCGCCUUGUAACAAAGCAGACCCGAAUACAGUGGAUGGGGAAAGUCAUUAUAGCUACAAGCAUUCUGAGCAUGUUUCUCUAAGCUGUCUCUAGCACUUCUCCCUCAGCAGAGCAGGUGUGCCUGAACAGCAUUUUGCCUGUGGCCUGAGGACCUUUCCAUACCUAUAGACAACUUUUCAAAUUGACAGGGUGAGGUAGUGGAGAGCAAACAGAGUAAGUAUCCCUGUGAGUGGCUCCCCAGACCAUUUUCUCAAGCAGCCAGUGCUUCAGAUUUUCUCAUCCAGCACACUGCCUGCUCAGACUUGCCCUAACCACCCUUUCCAUGGUGUGAGCACAGCUGCUUGUGGUGCCUUAGAUGAAGCCAGAUCGUGACUUUGGUUAGAGUUAUUUUUAACCUGCCUCGUUCAUUUGUUUGCUUUGUGAUUUGGUCCCACAAAUGAUGCCAGCUGUCAUUAUAUAACGCAGUGGCAAGGUAUUAGGUGUCCUAGGUGCACCUUAAAUGGUUGUUACCAGUGAAAAGAGCAUUUCAAAUACAUUGUGCCCUAAAGAGUACCAUUUAAUGUGGUGGUAAAUCCAGUCUUUGUGCACUGAGUCUAGAGUCUGAGUCUAGAAACAUAACAGUCCCUUGAAUUUAAAAAACCUCACUUUGCCUCUUCAAAUGAAUUAAAUAUUUUUUCCAUAGACAUCUUUGAUUGUGAAGCCUUGCUGUUUCAAAUGUUGUCUCCCCUGGCUUUGCUUUAUGCAAGAACAGAGUGGAUCGAUUAGUAGCUCAAAAAAGCUAGUAUAAGAUCCUAAAGACAGCAUUAAAAAUCCUGCUGUCCGGUUUGGCAGAAUGUAGUUGUGUAUUCAAACCUGAUCUGUCUCCAAUGAGCACUUCCAUUUACUGCAGUAAUGCACAGGUGUGGUACUAAUGAUCAUGGAACCCGCAGUACGAGAAAAACAAGCUCAUUUUCAUAAGCCUGGCAGACAUUCAUUAUGCCAGUAGUGUAGGGGCUCAAAAUUUGAAAAAUAGUUGAAAACAAACCUGACAACAUGUAUCAGGGCUUAGACUUCAAGUUCUUCCAUUCCUAGAGCUGUCUAAAACUUGUCUAAAGCCACAAUAUUUACAUGCAUGCUACAGUUCUUAAAUGCUUGAUUUUGUCCUGGUUUCUUGAUUUGAAUGCUCAGACACCCAUUUGUAUAUUGCACCUGUAAAAUUUAUAUAUACAUAUAAAUAUAUGUGCUUUAACUUUCUGUGCACAUGAUACUUAACUUCAUGUACUGCAUGUGUUUUUGUCACAAGUACAGCAGGUUCCAAGCACAGCUAGUGCAGCUUUCAACUGAGACUAUCUCUGUCAGCCUCAGGCUCAACAGCCUGGCAGGAAAACUUGCAAAUCCUGCUGCACCCUACAGAUUUCUGUGAUUUGCAGUGUUGAUAGAAACAUCCUCCUGGCUGAGGCAUUAGAAGUUCCCAGAUGAGAAACCUUUGCUUCUCUCUUCCGAACUCACCAAAUUGUUAUACAACUGCAACUUUGAAUCUCUUUGAUGCUAAACUUGGAAUAUGUGUUACUGCUACACAUACAGUAAAAAAACAAAAACAAACCAUGAAGUAAGGAGGAUAACACUGCAGCUAAAGGAUGUUUUAUUGCAUGGUUUAAAAAAGCUGGUAUUUCUCCACAUGAAAGAAAAGGCUAGGCAUUUCUCAUCAUCAGAAAGACCCUGUUCAGUCCCACAGUUAAUAGUGUUAUCUCAUAUUGUCUACCAGUGACCUUAAUGCAGUCACAGCUGCUAUGGAUUUGGUGAAUUGUUUGGGGAACAAAUUUGGUCUGUUCUGGUAAAGUAAUAGAGUGCUCACUAUACUGUGUGACUAAAUCUGAUGCAGUAGGGUUUUUUUGUGUUUGUUUUCUCUUUUUUCUUUUUGUUUCAUUUUGUUUUUUCCUAACUGAUGUGUCACAGAUCAGCUUUUCAGCUGCGAACUUCAGUAAAGACCAACAAAGGGUUGGAGAGACACUGAUUAAAAAUAUCCUGUAGGAUCAUAGAAUUAGAAUGUCAUCUUGAGUUGGAAGGGACCCAAAAGGAUCAUCAAAGUCCAGCUCCUGAUGCCAAGAGAGAAGGGAAAAUAGAGGUGACAGGCUGGAGCUGUGACAAGGCAAGAAAUUGGGAAGGAUACAAAGAAAAGGAUCUGACUGAGGGCAGUAUGGACAAUGAAAGGCUUAAGCAGGACCAGCUUAAGCAGAGCACCAAGUGUGACUCCCUGGGGAGCACAAGAGAGAAAGCACUGUGGUCCUGAUGGGAGUGUGGAGGCAGUAACUCCACCUGACAGUCAGAGCUGAAAACCUCAGACUGGUAUAUCUGAAUUCCUGUGAAUAUCAAAGUGAUAUCUAUGUGAUUCCUCAUCCUUCUGUCCUGUGUUACA